rnacentral:rRNA from 1 species
UACGGAGGGUGCAAGCGUUGUCCGGAAUUAUUGGGCGUAAAGCGCGUGUAGGCGGCCAGAUAAGUCCGCUGUGAAAUCUCGAGGCUCAACUUCGAGCUGUCGGUGGAAACUGUCUGGCUAGAGUCCGGAAGAGGAGAAUGGAAUUCCUGGUGUAGCGGUGAAAUGCGCAGAUAUCAGGAAGAACACCGAUGGCGAAGGCAGAUCUCUGGGCCGUAACUGACGCUGAGGAGCGAAAGCAUGGGGAGCGAACAGG